GUAAACGGCGGCCGUAACUAUAACGGUCCUAAGGUAGCGAAAUUCCUUGUCGGGUAAGUUCCGACCUGCACGAAUGGCGUAAUGAUGGCCAGGCUGUCUCCACCCGAGACUCAGUGAAAUUGAACUCGCUGUGAAGAUGCAGUGUACCCGCGGCAAGACGGAAAGACCCCGUGAACCUUUACUAUAGCUUGACACUGAACAUUGAGCCUUGAUGUGUAGGAUAGGUGGGAGGCUUAGAAGUGUGGACGCCAGUCUGCAUGGAGCCGACCUUGAAAUACCACCCUUUAAUGUUUGAUGUUCUAACGUUGGCCCCUGAUCGGGGUUGCGGACAGUGUCUGGUGGGUAGUUUGACUGGGGCGGUCUCCUCCUAAAGAGUAACGGAGGAGCACGAAGGUUGGCUAAUCCUGGUCGGACAUCAGGAGGUUAGUGCAAUGGCAUAAGCCAGCUUGACUGCGAGCGUGACGGCGCGAGCAGGUGCGAAAGCAGGUCAUAGUGAUCCGGUGGUUCUGAAUGGAAGGGCCAUCGCUCAACGGAUAAAAGGUACUCCGGGGAUAACAGGCUGAUACCGCCCAAGAGUUCAUAUCGACGGCGGUGUUUGGCACCUCGAUGUCGGCUCAUCACAUCCUGGGGCUGAAGUAGGUCCCAAGGGUAUGGCUGUUCGCCAUUUAAAGUGGUACGCGAGCUGGGUUUAGAACGUCGUGAGACAGUUCGGUCCCUAUCUGCCGUGGGCGCUGGAGAACUGAGGGGGGCUGCUCCUAGUACGAGAGGACCGGAGUGGACGCAUCACUGGUGUUCGGGUUGUCAUGCCAAUGGCACUGCCCGGUAGCUAAAUGCGGAAGAGAUAAGUGCUGAAAGCAUCUAAGCACGAAACUUGCCCCGAGAUGAGUUCUCCCUGACUCCUUGAGAGUCCUGAAGGAACGUUGAAGACGACGACGUUGAUAGGCCGGGUGUGUAAGCGCAGCGAUGCGUUGAGCUAACCGGUACUAAUGAACCGUGAGGCUUAACCUU
rnacentral:rRNA from 1 species